rnacentral:misc_RNA from 1 species
GUGAAUUAGUGCCGACUACAAAUUUCAAUAUGGAGGAAAAUGAUGAAAACAUAUCAUGAUGAUAAAAACUGCCUUACACUUGUGGGAAGGUCGUAACCAAUUGAUGGUUUGGAUGCCUGAUGUGAUUGCAUGCUAGCUGGUGAUGGUGGACCGUGUCGCUCAGAGUGCCUCCUCCCGUAUCCCCGUGCCAGUCAGGGCCACAGGCCACACACUGGCUAACAACAAGGUCAAACAGUUGACAAAAGAACAGCCCAAGCACAUAUUUCAGGAAAAUGGACUGGUGGACACACAUUCCAAGAUUGAAGAGACCAGCUCCAAGGAAAACAACACCAAGAAAGACAAGGGUUUUGAAACUUUUGUCAUGACAGGUGACAUGAUAAUUCGGACCACACAGAAAACUAGAGACAAGGGCAACAGAAGCACAUCUGACAGCACUGACACCAGCGACACAGCUGACCUGAGCGACAUAGGUAUACACACCAAUGCUGUUUUUAUAGAGGAAAAAGGCAUUCAAGAGUAUACAGAGGGUACCACUCUCACUAAAGACAAUCAACGGUCUGCAGAGUCUGGUUUUGAGGAUCAGGAUUCAGGGACAUUAGAAAGAGACAGGAGUCAAGCCACUGAGCCCAACAGUGUAUCAGACUUGUCUUUGAUAAGUUCUGAGGACUUGGCAGACAUGACGCGAUCACAGUCCUCAGCUGCAAGUACAUCAGUUUCAUCUGUCUCAACGCCUUCUGAUAUCAAGUCUGACAUAUCGGAACAGACAGUGCUACAGUGUAUUUUAGGGCCAAACGGUCAUUCUUCUGAUCCACUUAUUUCUCCAGAAACUGAUCCAGCAAACAAAGAUAGUGAUACUUAUAGUUCUAGUGAGAAUGUGAAGGAUUAUAGUGAAUCAGAAAAGGACACAGAUUAUUCUAAGAUGGUGACCAGUAAAAGUGCCGAAAAGUUUGUGCAAAUAAAGGGCGGCAGUCAUCAGAGUGUACGUCCUAGCAAAAGUCAAGAGCUCCAAUCUGAGUUCUCUCUAGUGACCAUAGAUAUAGACGAAGAUAAUAAGGCAUAUUCCUUAGAUCAAAUACCACAACAUGGCACUGCCAAUUCAACAGCUUCACUGGAAGGAAUUGGGGAGGGAGAUGCUUUGGUGACCUCCAGAAGUCUUGACAGUUCUCCGGAACACAAGGCAGACCGGUGCCAUGAUAAGGAGUUCAUACCUGGAUUUAUAACACUAGCGGAUGAGCCAAAUAUGAAGAAAGCCAAAACCAAAGAGGAUAAUGAAAUGUUUGGUGAUGGUGCUGCAAACAAUAAUUCUCUAGAGGACUCGCAAAAUAAUGACAAUGGUGAGCGAGAUAAUGGAAAGGCCCAAAGAUAUUCGUUAGACCCAUCCCUAGAUCCCAAUCUCUUAGACUAUCAACCUCUUGCUAAGGGUGUUGAUAGACCAUCAGCACAGCGGCUUGCCAAACGACUGUAUAACUUGGAUGGAUUCAAAAAAUCGGAUGUGUCAAGGCAUCUAAGUAAGAAAAAUGAUUUUGGUGCAUUAGUAUCAGAAGAGUACCUCAAGUUUUUUCAUUUUGAAAAGAAGACACUUGAUCAGGCUCUGAGGAUGUUCCUGUUACAGUUCUGUCUGAUAGGGGAGACACAAGAGAGGGAACGGGUGCUAGCUCACUUCUCCAAGCGAUACAUUGAAAGCAACCAAGGCGUUUAUAAUUCUGAAGAUGCCUGUCAUACGCUUACCUGUGCUAUUAUGUUACUGAACACAGACCUUCAUGGCCAGAGUAUUGGCAGGAAGAUGACAUGUUCUGAGUUUAUAGAAAAUCUGGCAGAGCUCAAUGAUGGUGACAAUUUUCCAAAAGAUCUGCUGAAAAUUAUCUACCAAAACAUCAAGGCUGAGCCUAUUGAGUGGGCGGUUGAUGAUGACCACGAGGAGGAUCACAGUCAGACAGAGGACCGUAAUGCCGCAACACUAACAAACAUGUCAGCACCAGCCUUAGGCGGGAACCCUUUCCUAGGUGCACCUGAUCCAGACAAAGCAACUGAAUACAAAAAUGGCUAUGUGAUGAGGAAGUGUUGUUUGGAAGCAGAUAGGAGAAGAACGCCGUUGGGAAAGAGAGGAUGGAAGAUGUACUAUGUCUCUCUGCGUGAUUUGAUAUUCUACCUCUACAAGGACCAACAUGGAAUGAAGAAAGGACAGCUCAUACAGGGCUCCAACAAUGCCAUACGUAUCCACCACUGCCUUGCCUCCAAGGCUGCUGACUACAUAAAGAAGCAGCACGUCUUCAGGCUUAGCACUGCAGACGGGGCAGAAUAUCUGUUUCAAACAAGUGACAGUCGUGAACUCCAGGAAUGGAUUGAGACCAUCAAUUAUGUGUCAGCUAGCCUUUCCUCCCCACAACUGCCUGGAGCUGUGGGCUCACAAAAGAAGUUCCAGAGACCCUUGUUACCAGCGGCUUACACCAGAUUUAAUCUGCACGAUCAGCUACAGCGUCAUGAAGCCAUGUGUGACCAGGUGGAGAUUGACCUCCAGGAUCAUCGCCAGUUUCCCCCAGAAAAGGGGGCCAAGUCCCGCCUUAUACAAGACUAUUUGGAAAAGGAAAGCUUCCUGGAGAGUGAGAUGAAGCGAUACAAGACAUACACGUACCUACUCCAGUCCAGGAUGAGUGUAUACCCGGAGCUGGAGCCUUCCCUGGUGGAGACUGUCAUUGGGGAGGAUGAGGAGAAUGGACAGGCAGAUGAGGUCAAAGUCAUACAAAAACGACCGGUGCAGCGAUCCCUGUCUGAUAGGUACAGUUACCGUGCCGCUAUCUAUCAAAACCAACACAUAGAGUAUGACAUUAUCUGAGAGCUUGUACUGUGAGAACAAGGAAAGUGCAAUAAGUAUUCAUCAAUGUGAAAAUGGAAAGAAAUUGAUUUGUGAUCAUUGAUGAAAGCAGAAAAAUUGAAAUAUUGAGUGCUUUGUUGUGAGGAAGGUUUUAUAUGAAUGAACUUUUGUUUGAUAUAUCUGAAUAUGACAUGUAUACUAAUGGCGCUGGUACAUGUUGGGAUCUACUGGUACUUCUUUACACUAACUAUACAUAUAUAUAUGGAUUAGAUUAGCAACAAAUUAUCCAAUAUUAUCACAUUUAUCACAAUGCAUGCUGAUUUGCUGGUAGAAAACACUGCAUGUUUGUAAAGCUAGAACAUCCACAUAUGCUAGCCGCUCCAUCAUCAGUCUCACACGGUCCACAUGCCAAACAAACACAGACCUGAUUAGGUGUUCUGUAUAUUGACUACUAAUCAUGUAUAAAUAAGCAUUACUGAACAGAUUUCCCCUAAAUUCGUGGAUUUUAAAUAUAUAUUUUACAGGUCAUUGUUGAUCGAGUACGUACCAAUCGGGCAACACAAAUUGAAUCUGUAAUUAUGUUUCCUCACAUGAAUGAAUGCCUAGAAAUUAUAUGUGCUGGUUGAUGCUACCUUUGAUGAAUUUUAAUUAAUUUCUGGUUAAUUGUAGCCUGGUCAUUGUGUUUACUUUUUUCAACCUCACCUAAUUUUUAGGAGGUUGAUUGUAAUAGCAGACUUUAGAAAUCCAUCAACUUACAUUACCUUAGGUAAAAAACACAAUGUAUUCGCAGGAUUUAGGUGUACUGAUAACAUUACCUUAGGUAAAAAAACAAUGUAUUCGCAGGAUUUAGGUGUACUGAUAACAUUACCUUUGGUAAAAAACACAAUGUAUUCGCAGGAUUUAGGUGUACUGAUAACAUUAUUAAUAAAUUACAGUUCUACAGUGCUAUUUCAUACAAACUUUGUGAUAUAGACAAUAGCUUUAUUAGAUGUGAUGUAUCAAGUUUGCAAUGAAAACAUAUAAUAAGUUAUAAAAUAUCUUCACCUAAGUUACCUGUUGACAUGUUUGAUUCUUCAUAUCAUUUUUUACCUCUGUGAGGUUUUUAAUCAAUUUUUAAUUUCUUCCAAAUGUCUGGUGCCCUUGCACUAUAAGAAACAAUCUGUCAUUUUAUAACAUAAUCAAUAACAUACACUUCUUGUUUAAACUAUAUUUGUAUAAUACAUUACCGUUUUUUUUUUGUUUUCAAAAGAUUGUUGUACUUGUACUAUAAGUUAAAAGCUUUGAUCUAUAAAGCAAUUUGUUUGUUUUGUUUGAAUUUUAUGCAAUUUUUACUGCUUUAAUUAUUGACUAAGAGGUUGAAGGUAUUGAUUUUAAUCUGCUUGAAUUCUCUUUACUUUAUCUAUGAUUUCCUGUCUUAAAAAGAUUGUGCCAUUAGCUUUAUCAUAACAAGAUACAGGGUAGUCACCAUUCAAACAUGUACACAUAUUUACUGUAAUACUUUCCACAUUUAAUCAGAUAAAAACAGAAGGAGGCAGAAAUUCUGUAUAUAUUGAACAUAUAUAAAUAUAUAUCUCAUGCAAAACAUCUAGUCAGAAUUUGUGAGGGGUCUGGUGUCUCUAGUUGUCAUGCUCAUAGUUGUCCAAGAUCUUGUCAUUCAUAUAUGAGUGACUCUUGUAAUUUUUAAGUUCUUGAAAUGAAAUUGCGAAUCAAAGUAGGUAGAUGAAGGGGAAAAUGACUAUUGAAGACAGAAUCAUCCAUAUGUACAUAAUACAUUUUUGUUUUUGUCAGGAGAGAGGGUAUGUUGGCGGUUACGUACAUGUACAUUAUAUUUUAAUGUCUAUAUUUGCCAGGAGGAGAUUUGUUGAUGGCUGGUACCAUAUACAUUGUAUUUUGUUUUUAUAUU